AUUUAACACCUGCCUUAUUUUGAGAAGAGCACUAUCAAACGUGUCUGCUCAGGACAAUGAACGUCCUCAGCUAUGUUCUAGUUUAUCGUAAGUUUUUCCUGGUAGUUUUCACUCUGUUGGUUUUACUGCCAUUGCCAAUCAUCCUUCGCACCAAGGAAGCAGAAUGUGCCUACACACUCUUUGUCAUUGCCACAUUUUGGCUUACAGAAGCUUUGCCUCUGUCAGUAACAGCUUUGCUGCCUGGUUUAAUGUUUCCAUUGUUUGGGAUCAUGCCUUCUAAGAACGUGGCAUCUGCUUAUUUCAAAGAUUUUCAUCUACUGCUAAUUGGAGUCAUCUGCUUAGCAACAUCAAUAGAAAAAUGGAAUUUGCACAAAAGGAUCGCUCUGAGAAUGGUGAUGACAGUGGGUGUGAACCCAGCAUGGCUGACAUUGGGGUUCAUGAGCAGUACCGCCUUUUUAUCUAUGUGGCUUAGCAACACCUCAACUGCUGCCAUGGUGAUGCCCAUCGUGGAGGCUGUGGCACAGCAAAUCAUCAGUGCUGAAGCAGAGGUCGAGGCCACUCAGAUGACUUAUUUCAGUGGAUCAACCAACCAUGGACUGGAAAUUGAUGAAAGUGUUAAUGAACACGAAACAAACGAGAGGAAAGAGAAGACAAUACCGGUUCCAGGAUACAGUAAUGAUGCAGGGAAAAAUUCAAGCAAUAUGGAGCUGGAAAAGAUUGCUGCAGCUAGGACUUCCAGUACUAUGUUGAAUAAAAGUGAUGACUUGAAAAUGAUUAAAUGUUGGUGGCGCAGAAGACAAAUAGAAGAGGACCACGUGAUGUGUAAACUAUUUUCUGUUGAACAGAAUUCAGGCACAGGAGCCAAGUAUCGAACAAAGAAGGACCACAUGAUGUGUAAACUUAUGUGCUUGUGUAUUGCUUACUCUUCCACCAUCGGUGGACUGACAACGAUCACUGGUACUUCCACCAACCUGAUCUUCGCUGAGCAUUUCAAUAUGCGUUACCCUGAAUGUCGUUGCAUUAACUUUGGAUCCUGGUUUAUGCUUUCCUUCCCGGCAGCUAUUAUUAUUCUAUUCUUGUCCUGGAUCUGGCUUCAGUGGCUUUUCCUAGGAUUCAAUUUUAAGGAGAUGUUCAAAUGUGGCAAGACCAAAACAGUCAAGCAAAAAGCCUGUGCUGAGGUGAUUAAACAAGAAUACCAAAAACUUGGGCCAAUAAGGUAUCAGGAAAUUGUGACCUUGGUCCUCUUCAUUGUGAUGGCUCUGCUAUGGUUUAGCCGAGAUCCUGGGUUUGUUCCCGGUUGGUCUGCACUUUUUUCCAAGUAUCCUGGUUUUGCUACAGAUUCAACUGUUGCCUUACUUAUAGGACUUCUAUUCUUUCUUAUCCCAGCUAAGAGAUUGACUAAAACUACACCUACAGGAGAAAUUGUUGCUUUUGAUUAUUCUCCGCUGAUUACUUGGAAAGAAUUCCAGUCAUUCAUGCCCUGGGAUAUAGCCAUCCUUGUUGGUGGAGGGUUUGCCUUGGCAGAUGGCUGUGAGGAAUCAGGACUAUCUAAGUGGAUAGGAAAUAAAUUAUCUCCUCUAGGUUCAUUACCAGUAUGGCUAAUAAUUCUGAUAUCUUCUUUGCUUGUCACAUCUUUAACAGAGGUAGCCAGCAAUCCAGCUACCAUUACCCUUCUUCUCCCGAUAUUAUCUUCAUUGGCUGAAGCCAUUCAAGUGAACCCUCUUUAUAUUUUGAUACCUUCUACUCUGUGUACUUCAUUUGCAUUCCUCCUACCAGUAGCAAAUCCACCCAAUGCUAUUGUUUUUUCAUACGGCCAUCUAAAAGUAAUUGACAUGGUUAAAGCUGGACUUGGUGUUAAUAUCGUGGGUGUCGCUGUGGUGAUGCUUGGCAUGUCCACCUGGAUUGUGACUCUGUUUGACCUGUCUACUUACCCUUCUUGGGCUCCUCCAAUUAGUAAUGCGACCAUGCCAUGACAAGCAUGAACAUUAUAACUAUCCUGUGAAAUUGAAAGUAAAAAUGAAGUUUUCUCUCUCUGCAUUCAAGAAAAAGAAAAUAAAUGAAAAAGAGAAAAAAAGAAAAAUAAAGAAAAAAAGGAAAUUGAAAAUUUGAAAAGACUGGGCCUCUAGGUUUUUUGAUCUGCUUGGGUGCCUGCCCUGCUCUCCCCAGAAAGCUUCAUUAUGAAGAAAUGAGGAGAUUGUCAGCCAGAGCCCAGGAACUACCGCAUCUCAUUUCUUGACAUAUCAGCAGACAGUUCAACCCAAGAUUCCCCCACAUACACCCUCAAGAACUGCUUUAGGAUCCACAGUGGUAGGUGAGCUUUUAACCAAAAGAAAACAAACUUCACAAAGCCAUUCCAUUUCAGAAGAGACUCAAGCAUGCAUUUGAAAAGAAGGGGUAUUAGGAUAAUCAAUCGGAACAAAGAUGAGGUUGACAGUGAAAGUCUAUGAAAGGGUUUGGACGAUUAUUCAAGAGAAUAAACCAUUUUUAAAUUGAAUCUUUUAACUUUUAGAAAGUGUGACAAUGUUCUGGGGAUUACAAGGGGCUGCUGUUUUCCUCUUCAAUUCUUCAAGGCAUCAUAUUCCAGGCACUUUAUUCUCACAACACUUGUAAUUCCUAUUUCAGAUUCAUUUUCAUGAUCUCCCUCUUACUCUUAGGCAAUUGCUUUCCAUUCUUUAAAACCAUAAAUCAAGCAUCUUGGAAAACGUGGUGUUACAGGGUGCCGAUUUAAUCAGAGUAUCGGGGCAAAUCAAAUAAUAGAUCUUAAAUCUUAAUAUGACUACAAUUAAACUGAAUCACCUGGGAACUCAACAGGGUGUGAUCCAUCAGAAAAAUACCCAUAUACACCCCAGAGAUCUGUUUAGAUAUUUCCCUUCUUAAAUUUCUACUCUUGGACUCAGCUGGUCAAAAGUUAAUCCUUUUUUCUCUUUCCGCACAAACCUUUUAAGAUCUGUUUGUCUCUCCCAUUUCCUUCCUUCCUUUCCAGGCUCCCCAUUUCAGCUUCAGCCAAAUCCAUAAGCCACCCUCCCUCCUGCAAGAAGUUCUUGCCUUAAGAGGAGAAAACCUUCAGCUUAGACUGGUUAUUUUUUAAAAAGAAAGAAAAAAAAAUCACCCUCCUUAGAAUCCCCCAGCUUGAAUGUAUGAACCAGAGUUUAGAUUUUGGCCAUCUUGAGUCAAGGGUAAAGGCUCUUCUAACAUCACUCUGGACAACACAGAGAAGCCCAAUCACUCCUCCGCCUCAAGGCUGCCCCUAUGGUCCUACCUGGGAAUAUUUUCUCCUCCCUCAACUAUGUUUUAGAAUAGCAUAUUUGUAAUGUAACUUUUUUUUCUUUUUUGCAGUUAAUAAUUUCAAGAAACUGAAUAGUGUAAAUAAACAAAAUAAGCCCAAAGAUACAAAAUUAAAGUUUUACAGUUGAUGUCCCCAGCUCCUCAGUGGAUUAGAAAGUUCAAUUCCUGACUCUCUGGGCUCUCUAGGCUCCCUGUUACCUGAUUCUGACUCUCUGGGUCUUGGCAGAGAGGCUGUAUAGUUCAAUGGUUAUGAGGACAGGCUAUGAAACUCACAGUUCCAUGCUCACUGGAGGGUUAUUUUUUUUUCUUUUAACGGUUUUUUAAUUUAUUUUUUAAUAUGAAAUUUAUUGUCAAAUUGGUUUCCAUACAACACCCAGUGCUCAUCCCGACAGGUGCCUUCCUCAAUGCCCAUCACCCACUGCCCCCUCCCUCCCACUCCCCAUCAACCCUCAGUUUAUUCUCAGAUUUUAAGAGUCUCUUAUGGUUUGGCUGUCUCCCUCCCUUUUUUCCCCCUCCCCCUCCCCCAUGGUCUUCUAUUAAGUUUCUCAGGAUCCACAUAAGAGUGAAGACAUAUGGUAUCUGUCUUUCUCUGUAUGACUCAUUUCACUUAGCAUAACACCCUCUAGUUCCAUCCACAUUGCUACAAAGGGUCAUACUUCAUUCUUUCUCAUUGCUGCAUAGUACUCCAUUGUGUAUAUAAACCACAGUUUCUUUAUCCAUUCAUCAGUUGAUGGACAUUUAGGCUCUUUCCAUGAUCUGGCUACUAUUGAAAGUGCUGCUAUAAAAAUUGGGGUACAAGUGCCCCUAUGCAUCAGCACUCCUGUAUCCCUUGGGUAAAUUCCUAGCAGUGCUAUUGCUGGGUCAUAGGGUAGAUCUAUUUUUAAUUUUUUGAGGAACCUCCACACUAUUUUCCAGAGUGGCUGCACCAGUUUGCAUUCCCACCAACAGUGCAAGAGGGUUGCCGUUUCUCCACAUCCUCGCCAGCAUCUAUAGUCACUGGAGGGUUAUUUAAAUACCAUUCUGUGCCCCAUUUUUCUGUGUGACUGAUGAUGAUCAAUUAGAGACAUGACAUCAAGAUAGUUGCUCAGAUGACUGUGCUGUUAUCCCAAAAUCCUGCACUUCCUCAUUUGUCUGUAGAUAAGGCCUCUGCUGAGUUAACCUGAACACAUCGCUUCCUUGAAAUCUUCAAGAUUCUAAGACACUAUUGUUCACACUCAAAAAAUGAGAUGCACUCAGUCUCUAGCUGUUUUUCUUUUUCUUUUUUUAAGUGUAUGAAGACACUUGAUUUACCCAGAAAAGUUUGCCAAAAAAUUGAUCAGAAAAUAAAUGAACUAUCCUGAAAGUAAUGCUGAUGCUUCAUAGUGUGAUUUUUUUUUUUUUAAUUUAAGGAUACAGUAUGGAUUUCUCUAAAGAUGCUAGAAAGUGAUUUGGUCUCAGUUCCAGUAGUUUUGAAAUUUUAUUCUUUAAGGAACUCUAGCAAAUUUGAGGAAGAAGCUAUAUCCCUUUCAUUGCCAUAUUAAUCAAAAGGAACUAUGCAACUUUCUCAUUUCCUGAAUUAUUUUUUAAAAGCUGCCCUUUUUAUUAUAUAAAGACUUGGUAAAGAAAAAAAUCAAAAUAAGUAGAAACUAGCUCACCUAUUUUUCUUUCAAGAGCUUACAUUUUUAGUGCCUAGCACAAUGUCUUUUCUAUUCCUUAUUAUUUUUUUGCAAAAGUUUCUUUUUCAGUUUGAUGUAUAAACCAAGAUAGGCUAUGAACUGUUUCUUCCCUUCAAUUAUGUAUGCAUAGACUGCCAAAAAUGUAUCACUAGCAAGUGGCAUUUAAAUGGCAAUUUGGGGGGGUGGGGCACCUGGGUGGCUAAGUCAGUUAAGCAUCCCACUCUUGGUUUUAGCUCAGGUCAUGAUCUCAUAGAUGCUGACUUAGAGUUCAAGCCCCUCAUUGGGCUCUGGGCUGACAGCAUGGAGUCUCCUUGUGAUCCUCUCUCUCCCUCUCUUUGUCCUCUCCCUCUCCUGCUCGUGCUCUCAUGAUCUCUCUCUCUCUCUCUCUCUCAAGAUAAAUAAACUUAAAAAAAAGGAUAAAUGGCAAUUUUUAAUACUAAAAUAUAAAGCUAUAAUUAAUAGCCAUUAUUGACAUGUCAAAAAAUUACAUACUCAGUUCACAUCUGUGAUUGUAGUCUGGGAUUAGGCAAUUUGAGAAAGAGUAUGUCCCUGACAUGUUGCAUUAGACUUACAAAUUUUCUUUUUGUUUCUGUUUCUUUGUUUUUUUACAUGCAUUUUUAAAUUUUCUAUAAUUUAUAUAUUUUUUAUAAUUUAUAUACAAGUUAGCACAUGGGCAACAAUGAUUUCAGGAGUAGAUUCCUUAAGCCCCUUACCCAUUUAGCCCAUCCCCCCUCCCACAACCCCUCCAGCAACCCUCUGUUUGCUCUCUAUAUUUAAGAGUCUCUAUAUUUAAGAGUCUAUAUUUAAGUUUUGUCCCCCUCCCUCUUUUUAUUUUAUUUUUGCUUCCUUUCCCUUAUGUUCAUCUGUUUUGUAUCUUAAGUCCUCAUAUGAGUGAAGUCAUAUGAUAUUUGUCUUUCUAUGACUGACUAAUUUCACUUAGCAUAAUACCCUCUAGUUCCAUCCAUGUAAUUGCAAAUGGCAAGAUUUCAUGCUUUUUGAUGGCCGAGUAAUACUCCAUUAUAUAUAUAUACCACUUCUUCUUUAUCCAUUCAUCCAUUGAUGGACAUUUGGGCUCUUUCCAUACUUUGGCUAUUGUUGAUAGUACUGCUAUAAACACUGGGGUGCAAUUGCCCCUUUGAAACAGCAUACCUGUAUCCCUUGGAUAAAUAGCUAGUAGUGCAAUUGCUGGGUCCUAGGGUAUUUCUAUUUUAAUUUUUUGAGGAACCUCCAUACUGUUUUCCCAAGUGGCUGCACCAGUUUGCAUUCCCACCAGCAGUGCAAAAGAGAUCCUCUUUCUCCACAUCCCAGCAACAUCUGUUGUUGCCUGGGUUGUUCAUUUUAGCCAUUCUGACAGGUGUGAGGUGGUAUUUCAAAGUGGCUGUGAUUUGUAUUUCCUGGAUGAUGAGUGAUGUUGAACAUUUUUUCAUGUGUCAGUUGGCCAUCUGGAUGUAUUCUUUGGAGAAGUGUCUAUUCAUGUCUUUUGCCCACUUCCUCACUGGAUUAUUUGUUUUUUGGGUGUUGAGUUUGAUAAGUUCUUAUAGAUUUUGGAUACUAACCUUUUAUCUGAGAUGUCAUUUGCAAAUAUAUCCUACCAUUCCAUCAGUUGCCUUUUAGUUUUGCUGGUUGUUUCCUUUGCUGUUCAGAAGCUUUUUAUUACAGUGAAGUCCCAAUAGUUCACUUUUGCUUUGGUUUCCCUUGCCUCGGGAGACGUGUUGAAUAAGAAGUUGCUGAAAAUGAACUAUUGGGACCUCAUGAAGAUAAAAAGCUUCUGCACAGCAAAGGAAACAACCAACAAAACUAAAAGGCAACCAACGGAAUGGGAAAAGAUAUUUGCAAAUGACAUAUCAGACAAAGGGCUAGUAUCCAAAAUCUAUAAAGAGCUCACCAAACUCCACAUCCAAAAAACAAAUAAUCCAGUGAAGAAAUGGGCAGAAAACAUGAAUAGACACUUCUCUAAAGAAGACAUCCAGAUGGCCAACAGGCACAUGAAAAGAUGCUCAACAUCGCUCCUCAUCAGGGAACUACAAAUCAAAACCACACUCAGAUAUCACCUCACGCCAGUCAGAGUGGCCAAAAUGAACAAAUCAGGAGACUAUAGAUGCUGGCAAGGAUGUGGAGAAACGGGAACCCUUUUGCACUGUUGGUGGGAAUGCAAACUGGUGCAGCCACUCUGGAAAACAGUGUGGAGGUUCCUCAAAAAAUUAAAAAUAGACCUACCCUAUGACCCAGCAGUAGCACUGCUAGGAAUUUACCCAAGGGAAACAGGAGUACUGAUGCACAGGGGCACUUGUACCCCAAUGUUUAUAGCAGCAUUCUCAACAAUAGCCAAAUUGUGGAAAGAGCCUAAAUGUCCAUCAACUGAUGAAUGGAUAAAGAAACUGUGGUUUAUAUACACAAUGGAGUACUACGUGGCAAUGAGAAAUAAUGAAAUAUGGCCCUUUGUAGCAACAUGGGUGGAACUGGAGAGUGUUAUGCUAAAUGAAAUAAGCCAUACAGAGAAAGACAGAUACCAUAUGUUUUCACUUUUAUGUGGAUCCUGAGAAACUUAACAGAAACCCAUGGGGGAGGGGAAGGAAAAAAAAAAAAGAGGUUAGAGUGGGAGAGAGCCAAAGCAUAAGAGACUCUUAAAAACUGAGAACAAACUGAGGGUUUAGGGAGGGUGGGAAUGGGGCAACCGUGCAGAAGCUUUAUAUCUUCAUGAGGUCCCAAUAGAUGCAUUGAAGAGGGCAUCUUUUGGGAUGAGCACUGGGUGUUGUAUGGAAACCAGUUUGACAAUAAAUUUCAUACAUUAAAAAAUAAAUAAAUAAAUAAAUAAAUAAAUAAAUAAAUAAAUAAUAAAAAAUAUAU